CAUUAAGGAAUCUUGGCAGUCUGUAUCAGAGCUACUCAGCUCCGGCCCUCUGGCUGUAUUUGGACUACAGCUCCCAGCAUCCCCAGCCACAGUGGCCAAUAGGGAUGAUGGGAGUUAUAGCCCAAUAUCUGCAGGAGGGCUGAAGCUGAGUAGCGCUGGGCUACAUAGUGUAGACUUCCAGUUUCCCUUAUUGUUUUAAUAUUGCUGUAGUGUUAGAUUUUUGCUAAGCCACAAUCAAAAUACAUUUUUUCCAUAGAAGACAGGAUAGAUGUUGAUCAGACACAAGACAAAGUAAUGCAGAAGAGCAGAAUCAGGGGGAAAACUUGGAUCAGAAUUUUGAAAGCAUCUCGAAACCAACACACAGCUUUCCUAGAACAUGAGUUUGUCGUUUCGUAAUUCCCACUCAGCAGAGCAAGUCAGGAUCAUACAGACAACAGUCUCCUUCCCCUUCCAUAUGAAACUCACAAAAUCUGGACUUUGUCCCGCAAGCAAAGAGCAAGCUUUGGUCUACAAUGCAACAAAAUGAGAAGGUGGAAUCCUGAGAUUACUCUGAGCCAGAAUUUUUACAGAGCAUUGUUAUGUGUUCCAGAGUUUCCUUUGGAUGACAGAUCAAUGGAGACGUAACAUGUCUUAGCAAUAUAUGCUUUUUUUCCAAAUAUGCAGCAUAAUGGAACAAAAAAACACCCAACAACAACGAACAACAACUCUGACAAGCUUGGCUGGUUCUCUCAGGAACCUUUCAGCCAAACAGGACCUGCAGCCAUGAACUACAGUAAAAGCUUUGGAAGAUGAAAUCCACCUAUUCUUUUAACCUCUGAAAAUUACUAUCCUCUAGUAAAGUAUAGUAGUAUACAUGUAUAGAAAAGGUAUACAAACUCUGACUGAGAAGCAGCAAUCAAAAAUAAGAAAUUCACAGCCAAAGCAAUGUUUAGUACAAAGAACAUGCCAAAAUAAUAGAAACCACACAAAUUGUGGUCACUGGUGACUGGUCUGGUUAAAGCAGUUGUAUGUUGUAUCUGGCACUCUGCAUUCCAUUCAACAGAUAGAUCUCUUUACCAGAAACCCUCUGGAUAGUUAAACAUACAACAGAUGCAUUUAAAGCACACUGUAUGGGUCGGGGGGAAAGAACUUCGUUGGUGGUCACAAACACCAAAGAAUCAGGUAGAAAACUCUGAAUAGAGCAGGCACAUUAUAUGAAGGGGGGGAACUUCUGCCUUUCUUUUUCUUUUUUAAAAACCAAGUCUUUCACAGUCCAAACCCUGUAAUGUACCUGCUCAUGAAUUUACGAAUAAAUCCAGAUUAAGGUUUGUGUGUCUAAACUGCAAGAGCUCUUAUCUUUCAGACAGAUGGCCAUUGAGUAAUAUAAUUUGCUUUGGGAAAUCUGGACAUAUUUUAUCUGUAUGCAUCCCAGUCAGUGUUAAAAGCCACAUCUUUUUGCUGGAGGUAUAGCCUAUGCUACUCUGCAAGCUAUUAAACACCCCAUGGCUCCUGUUAAAGCAAAGUGUUUUCAAUUGCAUAGCAUGAGGCAAGCUUCUGCAAAAUAAUAAAUGGUUGGCUUUUGGGGAGGGGGGGUUACAUUAAUCCAUGUGCCCAAAGAUUUUGAGCCUGUAUAAACAUUUAAAAUAUUAAAAAUAUUUGAACUGGAAAACAUGCUCAUUGGCUCUAAUGCUUGUGGGUUUUCAUGAAAGAAAAUAACCAGCAUCUUCUUUUUGUUUGUACAACUCUCAAAUGUAAAAUGGGAUAAUAAAAAAAGAACGCAAAAUAAUUUCACUUCCUUUUUUAUAGGCUAUUUACAGCCACUUUAGUUCAUUUAUGGGCAUUUUGUU